rnacentral:rRNA from 1 species
CUCAGGAUGAAACGCUAGCGACAGGCUUAACACAUGCAAGUCGAGGGGCAGCAUAAAGUAGCAAUACUUGGUGGCGACCGGCGCACGGGUGAGUAACGCGUAUGCAACCGUACCUAUCAGAGGGGAAUAACCCGGCGAAAGUCGGACUAAUACCGCAUAAAACAGGGACACCGCAUGGUGAUAUUUGUUAAAGAAAUUCGCUGAUAGAUGGGCAUGCGUUCCAUUAGGUAGUUGGUGAGGUAACGGCUCACCAAGCCGACGAUGGAUAGGGGAACUGAGAGGUUGGUCCCCCACACUGGUACUGAGACACGGACCAGACUCCUACGGGAGGCAGCAGUGAGGAAUAUUGGUCAAUGGGCGAGAGCCUGAACCAGCCAAGUCGCGUGAAGGAAGAAGGAUCUAUGGUUCGUAAACUUCUUUUGCAGGGGAGUAAAGUGCAGGACGUGUCCUGUUUUGUAUGUACCCUGAGAAUAAGGAUCGGCUAACUCCGUGCCAGCCGCCGC